GGGCAUGACUGCACCCCCAUCAAACUUUACUUAUGGACAUGGAAACUUCUCAGUGUCAUGAAGUGUUAGUUUUUGAUUUGUUCAACCAUUUGGAAAUAUAAAAUCCAUUCUUGAUUCACGGGCCACAAGAGUAGGCAGGGACAGGCUGCCCCUGGCCGACCUCUGGAAUGAGCUUAGAGAAGGAAAUGACAGGCUGGGCCAGCGCAGCCUCCUGACAGCAGAUUCGCUGCAGGAGGGUCCUUCUUAGCAGCCACUUCUCAUCCUUCAUCUUGGCUUCAGAUGCAGUUCAGGUGGAGAAAGAGAGAACAGAACUGGCCUCAGCAACAAGGAGGAAGGAGAUGCAGGGUCAAGUAGCCACGUGGAUCCAUCACACUCAACACUCACACCAAGCGGAGCACAGGCAGGACCAGCCCGGGGGCGCCAAAGUCGAGGCUCUCUGGGAUGGGGGACCUCUGGCUGGGCAAGAUUCUCUACCUAAAACUCAUAUAGAAGAUCUACACGGCAGUAGUUACAGAAAACACACUAAGAAAGUGCCCAAGAUAAAAACAGCACACCAAGUUUGGCCAACCGGCUCUCACAAGCCAGUAGGUAAGAAAGCCCAGGAGAGCCCAGCAGAGGAGCUGGGGGUGGGUUCCUGCCUGCAGGGGGCCUGGGAUACCCCAUUUCCACAGACGAGGACCCAUGUUUUGGGGAGAAAGCUGUCAGAGUCACCAGUGAGCCGUUCAGAGCUGGAGCCACAGAGCAGGAGGAGGGGGCACCCAGAAGGGGCCCUGAAGUCAAGGGCAAGGUCCAGCCUUUCCACCUCCCCAGCUGAAGACAGGCUGGAGGACAAUUCUCCAGAGUUUCAUAACAAAGAAGAGAAAAAAGAAACCAAAAAGACCUGGAGGAUAGGGAGUGUCACCACUGUAUGUCAGCCACCGGGGGACAGGCUUCAGCUUACAACCACCUUCCAAAUUCCACCCUCUCACGUUGGCAGAAGCUGGCCAGGAAUUGGGGCCAAUGGAUGGGUGGGGUCUGCACACAACACCGUACUCAGGUCCCCAUGACGGCCUCACACAAAGGUGGUGGCCCUGCAGUUCCAGGUGCCACACACACACCAGCCCCUGCUCGGGCCCUGAUCUUUAAGGAGGGGGAGCAGCAGAACCCGGGCACUGACCCCACAGUGCCACUCACACCCACAGACGAUUCUCCACAGAGGCAUCAGGUCUCGGUCCUGGCCACCUCCCCCUGCAGGGCCUCAGCUGUUUCCUGGGACUCACGUGGUCCUUCCUCACAUGCAGCUCUGGUAAGAUGCAUUGAUCUGUACCCAGGGGCUCUGAGGUGACAACGGUCUCGCUCAUGCAGAGUGCAAGGGCAGAGGCUGGGUGCCCAUUGUGGGGACCCUGACUGCAGCACUCCUAGACUAUCAUCGGGCCUGUUGGCCCCCAGUCUUAGCUAGGGCACCAGCAGUAGCAGUGCACUGCUCUGGACUCUGCAGGAGGAGGACAACUGUCACCGCAUCUUUAUGUUCUCCUGCUGGUGUCACUCUGUGCUUCUCAUCUCCUGGUUGUAGGAUUCAGGGCAGACUCUCUGAAGACCUUGUGGGAAACAGCAGAGUCCAGCAGAGAAGACAAGAAAAGCCCAGCUGUAAAGAUGAAAAAAUGGCAGGUGUGACAUGGGCCCCCCAUUCUGAUUCUGUAUUUAGAUGAGGUCUUCUGGAACACCUGUCCACGCUGGAGUGCAGU